UUCCAGUUGAGAAUUUCUGUAUGCUGGGUUAUGGCCUGCGCUUUUUUUCGGGCAUAGAAACAUUCCGGUGAACCCUGAGGAACUGGAUGCAGCACCAUAUAGCGCUUUGCCUUGGAAAUACACAUUCGACGGUCAUUCGGAUGUCUGAAAUCGUAAUUUUGUUUUAUAAAAAAUGCACAAGUUUAUGUAUAUAACACAACUCACCGUUAGUAAAUCCUCUUGAUAAAAUUUAACACGGAUUUUUCCAACCCAGUGCUUUAGGGAGGCCAGUAGAUUCUUGACCACAGAAAUAAUAAUAGUAUAACAAUAAUUCUUCCAGAAAUCCAAUUGUCGCCAGCAUCCCUGAUGAUGGUGGUGUUCCAUUGUAACGCCUCAUCUCCCAGCGGGGGAACAAUUUUUCAAACAUGUUGCAUUUAUUCUAAAGUCCAAUGUCUUUUUCGCAUCCUUAGCAUUGUUGAUGUUUUUGUCCAACAGAAUAGUUACCUCUUCCUAAAACAUAAAAUUAAAGACAUUAUAAUCAUUUGUUUGAAGUACGAAACUUAUAACUUACCAAUCGAGUAUCACUGAAACUGAAAAAUAACGAACCUCAAGACCACCGAAUGGAUAAAUAACUAUCUGUUAAGAUGUAUAUUAACAUAGAACUGCUUAAAUUUAUAGGAAAUUCUAUUAUUCGAUAUUGACUUCAACUAGAUGCUGAGAUUCAUUGGAAUUUCCUAUACUUUGUACUGGAUUUAUCAGUAGUUUCUAUUACACAUUGAACUUUAAGAUUCACUAGAUUGACCCUAUAAAUUUUAUUGCCAGAUUUGGUUCAGUGUAGCUACUAAUUGUAUAAACUUAAACUGGAAUGCAUGCUUCCGAAAAUCAAUCAUUUUCACUGAGCCAUGCUUGACUACAUUCAGAGCCAAAAAAUCAAAGCAGUCAAAUUUUCCUUCUUCAACCAAAUCAUACAAACAAUCGUGCAUGACAACGACGCUUCUGUAUUUGAAACACUUUUGCGAUACAUGAUGAGGUAAAAAAGAACGCAGACUAUCAGCAACGAACGUCUCGAUACUGAUUUCCUUCCCCUAACGACUUUCAACCUUUAGGAUCAUGACUGAUAUGUAUCAGUUCUGAUCGAUCUAAGUAGGCUAUCAGAUGAUUUUUUAUUUUUCGUUUUGCCUAGAAGGACAAAAUCAUGACUAGGUAACCGCAAUGAACUGUCCAGCAUGUGCUACAGCUUUUUUGAACAUGUGGUCCUGAUAUUUAUUCAGAUUUUUCCUUUUGAAACAUUAAUGAUCGUCUAUCAAUAACAAGCAUUAUCAACAAUGAUGCGAGGAUAGACGUUCGGGAAUGAUUGAGGGAGCGACGUUCAAAAUGUAUCACCAAGUAUGUCGAUCACCGUCAAUUAGCCACGUGACGAAUAGCAACGGUAGCCUCCGGUGGGCAUGGUAUAUCUUCUUGUAUCAAGUUAGUGUUGAUUUUCGACAUAUAUUCAAUGGGUACUUUUACCACGUGCGUAUCACAGCACUCGGAGGUAGCAUCAUUCUAGCUAGAAACCAUUCCUGAUUGCUUUUCUUGAGCGAUUUUCCGACCACUGCUGGAAAGCAGUGAAAUUUUAAGAUUUUGAUUUAAACAUCCUAAUACUUAUUCACCUUUAGAAAAUAUUUUGAAAGUAAGUAUGUCCACGUGGACAUUACCCAAACCACUACCCCCCUCUCCGUGGACAAGCGUGGACAUUGGGUAGCAUUUGGGAAAAUCAGAUGAAGUUUUUGGCACUUUUGAAUGAUGGGACCGAUGAGCUGAAAUAGGAAAAUAGGCGCAACGUAAGGCGCCUGAGCAGCAUGACGAUAAGUCCGAUGAGUGGGUUGGGGAAUCAGUUCGAUCCACUGCAGACUGUUGAUUGUCCGGAAUGGAUUGAGCCCCUGAAGGAUUCUACAGGUGAUGCUGUCCAAUUGCUAGUCAUUCUCUUCUUCUUCUUCUUCUUCUUCUAUACUCGAACUGUUUUGUGAACAGUUCUGAAAGGGGCUCAGUAUCGAGACUAUAAUGCCCUGUGAUUUUGUAGAUCCGAUUAUUCCGUAACACCGUAUGCAUUUGGAUUCCCAAUUUAUCUCUCGCAGAUAUCUCUCAGUACCAGAAUAAUGAAUCAGAAUUGGAAUUUAAUAUUUAAAUUUAUCUAAGUUUUUGAAAUUGUAUCAUGUAAUCCUUUUUUUUGCAUUUUUAUGAGUUUUUUUUUUCUUCUUCAUAUAUGAUAUGCUUGUUAAAUUGUAUUUCUCACACGUCUGCUCUAAUUUCCCUUAGGUAUUCGCAAAUUUCUUUAAAAUAUUCUAGAUUUUUUGUUUUGAAUAAUUCGAUAAGCUCAGUGAAUUUAUUGUUAAAUUUAUAUUUACUUCGUAUCAAGGUAUAUUUUGUGCAGUGUAGUGCAAGGUGUUCACUGGUUUCGGGUACUUGGCAAACUUCGCAAUUACCAUCUUCGACUAAUUUGAUUUUGGCUUUCCAAUAUUUGGACCAAUUAUGUCCGGUAAGCAAUCUAUUAAGCAACCUAACUUCAGUAUUUGAGAGAUUUUUUUUGUGAAACCACGCCCAACAAACCAUUAAGCACUUUUAUAAGCCGAAAUAUGGAUAUAUAGCAGCACUUGAGUGUCUAAUAGCCGUAAAGUAUGUUUUUAAAUGCUAGUUAGCAUUGUGAGAAUAAAGCAGUGAAAUUAGCCGUAUAUAAGUUUCUUCUGCUGCUUUAUGGCUUUGAAGCCCUGUUGAUAUGCUAAGGAAAUGUCAAAGCCUUCUUGCGGCUUUCAAAAUGUCAAGUUGAAAGCGAUGAAAAAAAAAACAAAAAGAAAAUGAGGAGUAAAAGAACAAUUUGAUAAACAAACAUAAGAUUCCGGGAUCGGAUUGAAAUUUUAAUUGUAUAUUUGAGUGUCGCUAGAUUUUCUUCGGAAGAAAGUUUCCGGAUAGCGAGGCGCAGGUGAUACAGGAGCAGCGGAUUCCGGUGUAUCAGCUGGAUCAAUCAAUGAAAUUUCAAAACCCUGUGUGUUUUAUCGGCAGCCGGUAGGGGAGGUAAAUGCUACGAUUGUGUGGAUUCAAAAAACAAUCAAAAUUGGUCCUAGAAAUCGAACUCGGCGAGAGGAUGGAGGAGCCUUUAUUUCAGCUUGCUGGUGGUUCGUCGAGGAGUCAUCCGGAUGCAGUUCUACAAGCAGUGAAAUGUCGAUAGAGUGUAUACCGAAGGUUUAAAAAGUUUAUCGCUGAAGAACAAAAUUUCUAUAUUUUGCCUGAAUUCUGUUUUACUAGACCAAUAAAUAAAGUGUUGAUUUAAAUUUUACAAGGUCCAUCAUUUCAAUGUCUUUCUCUCACUUUGAACUACAACAAAGUUUUUCUUUUAAGAAUGCCACAUUUUCCAACAUUGAAGCAAUAAGUCGAUAGGUCAUGGGUGAAAGGCGCCGUCAAAUGCUCGUAAAUUCCUAGUGGUCCAAAAGGUUCUGAGGGUUCUGAGUUCAAUUCCACUAUCAUCUCAAUAGCGUGAAAAUAAGGGGUUUAAGAAAGAUAGAAAACAAAAAUUCCUUCUGGAGGAAAAGGACAAAAAAAAACGAGACAAUAUUUUUUUUCAAUUUUCUGACCUGUCAUUUUUUUGACAUCUUCUCAUGGGCGUGGUUCGAAAAGUGGGGGCAGGCUUCAUAUCGGCCGAUUUGCAGGCCAAAAGUGGCAUUUGAAUGGCCCUUGAGUACAACACACGACUAUUAGGCUCUGUAAGGUAUUUUCUAUAGCCGACUAUAGGGCCGAAUAAGUGCCAUUUUUUACGGCUUAAUGGUUACUUGGGCGGUUCCUUUUCCAUUGUGGGCUGGAACUGGAAAAAGAGCUUGCCCUUGUGUUCUGAGCUUUCACGGUACCACAUGUCUGCUUUUCUUAACAUAUCGUUUUUGAAAAAAUUGCAUGCAUCUCCUAACAGUAUCUUGUUUUCCAUGGUUUCAAUUUCUGUCAGACCCGCCUUAGCUAACAUGUCAGCUAUAUCGUUUCCUCUGAUGUUUAUGUGGCUUGGAAUCCACUGCAAAGAGCAAUUCCAUUUUAAAGCCAGUUGAAUAAUUUCUUUAUUUAUAGUUGAUGUUUUCUUUAAGUGUAGUUCGUUUUCAAUAAUUUGGAGGGCUGACUUGGAGUCUGUGUAGAUAACAGGAUUUUGAAUCUGGUCUUCAUCAAUUUUGAUAAGUGCCAUUUGAAUUGCUAGGAUUUCUGCUGUUGUUAUGCACGUCUCGUUGUUAAGUUUUCGUGAAAAUCGUGAGUUGUUAUAUUCAAUAUAGAAGCCUACACACAAAACUUUCGAGACUCCACUUAGCAAAAAUGAGCUGUUACUUUCCGUUAGCAAAAAUUUUUUUUUACUGUCCAGUUAGCACUUUCCCAAAUUGUCAUGACUUUUGCUCAAUUUGAGUAAAAAAAACCCCUUUGCUACUAAUUUCAGUAUUUACAGUAGCAUGGACUCAAACUUUUAGGACUUUUAGUUUCUACUCGAACCACGGUGCAACGUUUCUUUUUGACAGGAAUUUUGUUUUGUUUUGUUUUCGGAUCAAUCAGUCGUAAUUUUGGAAUGUUUCGAUUCCGUUUUACCAUUAAAAGUUGUGCGCCGUGUUUUGUUUGCCGUUCAGAGAGAGUUCAUCACAUAAUGCUCCGAAACCUACCUGUCCGGCCGGAUACGAUUCAAACGAUUUUCGAUGGUAGUGGAGGAUGGAACCAUCAAAAUGUUGAAUACGAUGGUCCUUCUCUUUGCCGAUUCCCAAAGACUUUUCAUGUUGGCCGUUUGGAUAAAGCUCCAGCGGAUGGUUUGUUUUGGUUUGAAACAAUUUUAAGUGGAAUCGGAAUUUUGUUUGGUAAGUGCGAUAAAUAAUUGAAAUUUAGCUUAAAAGAAAAAUAAUUCAGCUUUGUUUUUCAGGUUUCACUAUUUCUGAAGUUAUUCGAAAAGAAGCGACUGUUUCCAAAGUUCGAUAGAGUUGCCACUUCCAGCGAAAACACAUCUCCAGUUGAAGGGCUACUCACAACGGCAUCCGGUAGCCGCGACAACGUAGGAUUGCCCUAAAAUCUGCCCGAAAAUGAGGAAGCCGGUUCGAUUAAUGCUGUUAACGUGGGCUCGGAAGUUAACGCGGAUAAGGUCAUCAUUGGAUGUGGUUCAACAGCCUUGGGCUGCCGUAUUGGAGUCGUACAAAAUUUGCAUUCAAUAAUAUUUUGAUAACGUUGCUUUACGCUAUCAAACGCACUGGAAAACGAUCGAUCUAGAAUUCACUAGAGGGAAAAGUUUUCAGUUUAUUUUGCACGGUCAGGUGAAGGAAAACGGUUGGAGAUUACGAAAUGUUGUUUGAGUUUGUUUUCUUGAUCGAAGAGAACUUCAAAUUGAUAUGUAACGAACGACAAGAGAAAUGGAUACCACCAUCACAAACAUUCGUGCAGAACAAAGUUACGAAGGACAUGUAGCUUCACACGACUGUUCCGCCUGUCGGGGGGAAGCAGACAGCCAUAUGCUGGUUAAACGAUUCUACAAAUUGACCGCGAAUGGCAGCGCUGAUGUCACUGGCCCAGAAUGCAUUUUUAUUAAUGCCCAAGUGUUUUGUUUUGGGAUUGUUAAGUGAACUACAAUUAUCGAUAGUAAUUGCAUUAUUUGUUACCUCUUCUGGUAUAAGCUCCGGAUGAUGCCAACAUUGAAAUCAAAACCCCACGGCGGAUACAUUUGAAGCACUACGAUUAAAUGGGCAAUGUUUGCCUGAAGUAAAUUCAACAACUACGCAAGUGCACGCGAUUUUUGUGAAGUUUGCGGUGAAUUCUUGGAACCGAUGGAAGAAAAAGUUCAAUAAUUUUCCGGAAUGAGCUUUAUGGACCAUCAUUCGAAUGUCACAAGUCGCCAAACUUGUCUACCAUAAUUUCCAUGAUUGAUGGAAAGGAAGCUUCCGAAUAAAAGGACAUCUUUUAGCUAACGAAAAUAAAAUAAGUAGGAC